AGUGAACGCUGGCGGCGUGCUUAACACAUGCAAGUCGAACGGAUGAAAUAAGCUUGCUUAUUUCGUUAGUGGCGCACGGGUGAGUAAUGUAUAGCUAACCUGCCCUUUAGUGGGGGACAACAGUUGGAAACGGCUGCUAAUACCCCAUACUCCUUCUUAUCAUAAGGUAAGUUGGGAAAGAUUUAUUGCUAAAGGAUGGGGCUUUAUGGUAUCAGUUAGUUGGUGGGGUAAUGGCCUACCAAGACUAUGACGCCUACCUGGUCUGAGAGGAUGAUCAGGCACACUGGAACUGAGACACGGUCCAGACUCCUACGGGAGGCAGCAGUGGGGAAUAUUGCACAAUGGAGGAAACUCUGAUGCAGCAACGCCGCGUGGAGGAUGACGCAUUUUCGGUGUGUAAACUCCUUUUAUAAGGGAAGAUAAUGACGGUACCUUAUGAAUAAGCACCGGCUAACUCCGUG
rnacentral:rRNA from 1 species